GACGAACCGUGCGAACGUUAUUCGGAAUCACUGGGCUUAAAGGGCGCGUAGGCGGGCCUGAAAGUCAGGGGUGAAAGCCCCCAGCUUAACUGGGGAAGUGCCUCUGAUACUUCAGGCCUCGAGGGAGGUAGGGGCGUGCGGAACUUCCGGUGGAGCGGUGGAAUGCGUAGAUAUCGGAAGGAGCGUCGGUGGCGAAAGCGGCGCGCUGGACCUCUUCUGACGCUGAGGCGCGAAAGCCAGGGGAGCGAACGGG
rnacentral:rRNA from 1 species